rnacentral:rRNA from 1 species
AUACGGAGGAUGCAGGCGUUAUCCGGAUUUAUUGGGUUUAAAGGGUGCGUAGGUUGCGGAUUAAGUGAGCGGUGAAAUGUUGUGGCUCAACCAUAAGAUUGCCGUUCAUACUGGUUCGCUUGAGGACAGAUGAGGCAGGCGGAAUGCGUGGUGUAGCGGUGAAAUGCAUAGAUAUCACGCAGAACUCCGAUUGCGAAGGCAGCUUGCCAAGCUGUGACUGACACUGAAGCACGAAAGCGUGGGUAUCAAACAGGAUUAGAUACCCUGGUAGUCCACGCAGUAAACGAUGAUUACUAAGGGUUUGCGAUAGACAGUAAGCCCGCGAGCGAAAGCGUUAAGUAAUCCACCUGGGGAGUACGCCGGCAACGGUGAA